rnacentral:rRNA from 1 species
AUAUCAUUAAGCGGAGGAAAAGAAAUUAACGAAGAUUGCCUCAGUAGCGGCGAGCGAAGCGGCAAGAGUCCAAGUUUAAAAUCUGAGGUGUUCCACCUCCGAAUUGUAAUCUGAAGAGCGUAGCAAAAGGGGAAGUGGAAGCAUAAGUGCCAUGGAACUGGCUGUCAAAGAGGGUGAAAAUCCCGUGCUUGGCUUCGACUGAACCGAAUGCUUUGUUUCGAAGAGUCGGGUUGUUUGGGAAUGCAGCUCAAAAUGGGUGGUAAAUUUCAUCUAAAGCUAAAUACUGGCCAGAGACCGAUAGCGCACAAGUA